CUGACCUGCCGCAGACCCACACUCAAGCAGCCUGCCUCUGCUCCCUUCCUCUGCAUCCUAUGGAAACUGAGGCAGAAUGAGGAGCUAUUUUCCAGGUCACACCAGGAGGAUGGUGUGGGCCACGCCUCACGCCGGGACGUGUUCAGACACCCUGCUCCAUGGAGAUACCCAGACACAUACGUGGGCACCCAAAUGAUCCAUUCCCUCCUGUACCUGCCAACAGGUAAGCGCCGAACAUCCCUCAGGGAAACUCUCCCGGGGACGCUACGCCCUUGUCCUGGCGGAGCCGGACUCAGGAGAUUCCUGCGCACUCCGCAUCCCGCAUCCCGCACCCACGUACCGCGCUCCGCCCCCGAUCGACCUCCCUCUCCCCGCUGCGCUGGGUCACCUCCAUCCCCAGUGCCCGCGAGGGGAGAGUGAGUGUGUAUCGCGGCCGGCCCGGGUCCGAGUGCGUGCGGCGGUCGGGGGCUGCGCGGAGGAGGCGGCACAGUGCAGCUGGCGGCCGUGCGCUGGGGCGCAGCGCGGACUUUGCGCCAGGAGCAGGGGAGCCAGGGCUCGGGCUGGGCAGUUCCCCUCUCCUCGGCCCUGAACCCCAGUUCCCCAGGAAGACUUGUGGAGAUGAAUUGACAACUUUCAAGGUGUGGACGGGGGACUCAUGAUAGAGAUGCAAGAGUGGCCCCAAGACCAACAAAUGAGAGAGAAGGCAACAUUGCCAAGGCCCCAGGUCUCCAAGCCAGAAAUGUCAUCUUCAGACCAAGAAGCUUGACUAUCAAAAAUUUCCUCCCAGUGCUGGAGUGCUGGGAACUCAGGAAGAUGAGAGGCGCCGAUGGAGCCUGCCUGUCUCAGAUGAAGCCCCAGUUGUCCCGGCAGCCAUUCAGGUCAACUUGGUAAAGCCCGCGCCCUCAUUCAGGCGCCUCCUGUCUCAAUUACGU